UACGGAGGAUGCGAGCGUUAUCCGGAUUAUUGGGUUUAAAGGGUGCGUAGGCGGAUCGUUAAGUCAGUGGUCAAAUUGAGGGGCUCAACCCCUUCCCGCCAUUGAAACUGGCGAUCUUGAGUGGAAGAGAAGUAUGCGGAAUGCGUGGUGUAGCGGUGAAAUGCAUAGAUAUCACGCAGAACCCCGAUUGCGAAGGCAGCAUGCCGGCUUCCUACUGACGCUGAAGCACGAAAGCGUGGGGAUCGAACAGG
rnacentral:rRNA from 1 species